rnacentral:miRNA from 1 species
UGUGUGUGUGUGUGUGUGUGCAUGCGCGCGCGCGCACACACACACACACACC